rnacentral:rRNA from 1 species
GACGAACGCUGGCGGCGCGCUUAACACAUGCAAGUCGAACGGAAAGGCCUGCUUUCCCUUGUGGAUUGCGGGUGCUCGAGUGGCGAACGGGUGAGUAACACGUGAGUGAUCUGCCCCCAACUUGGGUAUAAGCCUGGGAAACUGGGUCUAAUUCCCGAUAGGACUGCAGGGUGGUGCCUGUGGUGGAAAACGAUUUUCUAGUGGUUGGGGAUGAGCUCGCGGCCUAUCAGCUUGUUGGUGGGGUAAUGGCCUACCAAGGCGGCGACGGGUAGCUGGCCUGAGAGGGUGGACGGCCACAUUGGGACUGAGAUACGGCCCAGACUCCUACGGGAGGCAGCAGUGGGGAAUAUUGCACAAUGGGCGGAAGCCUGAUGCAGCGACGCCGCGUGGGGGAUGACGGCCUUCGGGUUGUAAACUCCUUUCGACCGCGAGGAAGCCACCUGGUUGGAAGGGUGGUGACGGUAGUGGUAGAAGAAGCACCGGCUAACUACGUG